UGAUAAGAGAAAGGUUUGAAGAGUGUGUCUCUUUCAGCCAGAUUGAGGCGGCGGCUUCCUUAGGGAUGGUCGGCGGUCCACGAGUACUUAUUCCCAGGGGCUUCGGAUUUAUCACCUUCGCCGACCCAGCUAGCGUAGAUAAGGUAUUAGCUCAAGGCACUCACGAGCUAGAUGGUAAAAAGAUUGACCCCAAAGUAGCAUUUCCACGAAGAGCACAUCCAAAGGUGAGUUUUUUUUGUCUUUUUUAAAAGGGAAAGUGUAUGAACAUUAAAUAA